GAUGAACGCUGGCGGCGUGCCUAAUACAUGCAAGUCGAGCGAAUGGAUUAAGAGCUUGCUCUUAUGAAGUUAGCGGCGGACGGGUGAGUAACACGUGGGUAACCUGCCCAUAAGACUGGGAUAACUCCGGGAAACCGGGGCUAAUACCGGAUAAUAUUUUGAACUGCAUGGUUCAAAAUUGAAAGGCGGCUUCGGCUGUCACUUAUGGAUGGACCCGCGUCGCAUUAGCUAGUUGGUGAGGUAACGGCUCACCAAGGCAACGAUGCGUAGCCGACCUGGGAGGGUGAUCGGCCACACUGGGACGGAGACACGGCCCAGACUCCACCGGGAGGCAGCAGUAGGGAAUCUUCCGCAAUGGACGAAAGUCUGACGGAGCAACGCCGCGUGAGUGAUGAAGGCUUUCGGGUCGUAAAACUCUGUUGUUAGGGAAGAACAAGUGCUAGUUGAAUAAGCUGACACCUUGACGGUACCUAACCAGAAAGCCACGGCUAACUACGUGCCAGCCGCCGCGGUAA
rnacentral:rRNA from 1 species